UACGUAGGAUGCAAGCGUUGUCCGGAAUCAUUGGGCGUAAAGAGCGUGUAGGCGGCUCGUUAAGUCCGCUCUGAAAGCCCGGGGCUCAACCCCGGGAGGCGGGCGGAUACUGUCGAGCUAGAGUCCGGAAGAGGCGAGUGGAAUUCCUGGUGUAGCGGUGAAAUGCGCAGAUAUCAGGAGGAACACCAAUGGCGAAGGCAGCUCGCUGGGACGGUACUGACGCUGAGACGCGAAAGCGUGGGGAGCAAACAGG
rnacentral:rRNA from 1 species